ACUGAACGCAUCCACUUAAUAUUAUGUAGUCUGUAUCUGUCAAUGUAAUCUGUAUCUGUCAAUGUAGUCUGUUAUAAUAAAUAUAUCGCCCCUGUCUUUUCCAAGUAAUUGAGCGGUUCGCACCAUUGUCUAACUCAGCUGUUUUAUUUAUUUCUCUUUACUAAAUUCCUACUCUAAAGUCUAAAAUAGUUUGUAACAGGUUAUGGGCCCAGACGCCCGGAUAGAAAUAGGGAAGUAGGAUUUAUAAAGUGAUAGGCAUCACGUUGAUGCAAAUUGAUUUCGUGAUACGUCGCGACGUCAUUAACUUUUCAGCUUACAAUGGCGGACCCCCGUUUUGCUCAAAUUGAUCGUUUGGCGGGCCGUGAUAAUUAUCCUACAUGGAGUUUCGCGGUGAAAACCUUUUUAGAGCAUGAAGAUUUGUGGAAAUGUGUCGAGACAUCGGGCAUGGCUUUUACGAAGACCGAAGAUACGAAGGCAAGGUCAAAAAUAGUCCUUCUAGUUGACCCUAUGAACUAUGUUCAUAUCCAGGAUGCCACCACGGCUAAGGAGGUAUGGGAUAACCUGAGAAAGGCUUUUGAUGACUCCGGCUUGUUGAGGAAGCUAUGUUGCAGCGUUUCCAGCCUCACCAGGCCUAGAGAGUGGAUGCUGGUACAUUGAUUCAGGAGCUGCAAUGCACAUGACAAACAAGAGAGAUUGGCUUUAUGACUACGGACCUGCUUUAGUAACAAACAUUAAAGUUGCAGACAACAAAAUAUUAACAGUAAAAGGCUGUGGUAAAGUAAAUAUAGAAACAUAUGAUGGUAAAAGUGAAUUAAAAAUUGGUACAAUACAAGUAAAAAAUGUUUUAUAUGUGCCAGAUUUGGCUGUUAAUCUUCUGUCAGUCCGCCAAAUGACACAGAAUAACUGUCAAGUAAAAUUUAGUAAGAAUACAUGUAAUGUUUAUAAAGAGUCUAAAUUAAUUCUCACUGGAUAUAU